rnacentral:rRNA from 1 species
CCGGCACGGGUGAGUAACACGUAUCCAACCUGCCGUCUACUCUUGGACAGCCUUCUGAAAGGAAGAUUAAUACAAGAUGGCAUCAUGAGUUCACAUGUUCACAUGAUUAAAGGUAUUCCGGUAGACGAUGGGGAUGCGUUCCAUUAGAUAGUAGGCGGGGUAACGGCCCACCUAGUCUUCGAUGGAUAGGGGUUCUGAGAGGAAGGUCCCCCACAUUGGACUGAGACACGGCCAA